AGAUCACAGGUCACUCAGUCAGCAAGGGGGACAGUCAAGGAUAGAAGCUUCCUUGGGUGAGGAGGGGGCUGCUCUGCUCCCACAGUGGGCUCAGGGUUCAUACGGUCCUGCGGAGGCCUCCCCAGGCCUACCUCUGCUGAUUAAAGUUUCCCCAAAAAGCAAGCUCCUCCUUCUACUUGCCCUCUAAGCUUUCGGGGUACUAGAAGCUAAUCAUGCAAUUUUUCUUUUUUCUUUUUCUUUUUUUUUUUUGAGACGGAGUUUUGCUCUUGUUGCCCAGGCUGGAGUACAGUGCGAGACUCCAUCUCAAAAAAAAAUAAAUAGGGCCGGGCGCGGUGGCUUACGCCUGUA
rnacentral:lncRNA from 1 species